CUGGUAUAAUGUUAUGUAGGGCUUAUGUA
rnacentral:piRNA from 1 species